ensembl:lncRNA
CACGGCCUGCGGUGCGAGCGGCCUGGCCGGCCUUGCGCCCGGCGGAUCUGAGCGCAGUCUUCACAUCACCCUGCAAAGGAAGCCACUUGUUCUGUUUACCCACGCGCAAGCCAAGGCACACAGACUCUAAGCGACUUAGACGCCACCACACAGCAAGUAAGCGGGUAGUGGAGCCUGGUCUGUUUCCUGUGGGACGUACUUUACAGCAGGGUCCGCCUUAUUCAGAGAGGCCACAUGUCCUGCUGCACCCUCAGUGGGGCUGGUGACCGGGGGCCCCUGAGGAGUGGGUGCAGUGCCCGGGUGGGUGGGUAGGGCAGGCUCCCAGUGGCCAGCUGAGCCCAGCUCUGGAUGGGAUGGCCUAGCUUCAGGGGAUGCGUUACCGGCUGACCGGUGGCAUUCUGAGGAUGCCAAAGGUCUGGGGUCUAUGGGAGUGGUCAGCUGGGGUCUUCCUAGUCUAGGGCCCUAAUGCUGGGAGCUGAGCCUCUGCUGUUCUGACAGAGGCCAGGUGAGCCCUCCCUCGGGUCUUCUGGCUUUGCCUAGGUCUUGGGACCCCCUCGUCCACUUGGGAUUCUGCCAGGACUCUAGCCUACGGCUCCCUGUGGACAGAAGGCAUUGGGUUCCAAGUUGGCUCUGGGUGGACCAAGGGCUGGUCUCUCCUGGGAGCGCCUGGGGUGUGGGGCAGUGAAGCCAGCCACUGUCCAGGCUGAGAACUGUGCCACCGUGGAGACCCUGCAGCCACCCCACCUGCCGCAGAACUUCCUAUGGGCUGGGAGGGGUGGGCCAGUGUCGGGGAGGGGUCACUGUUUCUACCUUGGUUCACCUGGGUCAGCUGGCUGACUCCUUCCUCACCUGGAGAGUGCUCGAGGACAGCAAGAAAAAUGAGGGACUUUCAGGGGCAGCUGUGUUUUCUGACUCAGUCAUAAUGCCCCUAAAAAUCCUUAUUGUUCUUGCAGUGUGCAUCAGGCGGCGGCCCCAGCCCAGCCCUUGCCCACCUGGCCUCUCUGGGAUGGGGAGAACUACCUGGGGUUCAGCUGGCGUGCCCUCCCACGUUUUCCUGAAAUGAGACUGUAGGGGGAUUUGCUGAUGAGUUAAUGUUUUGUUGGUUGAUGCAUUGAUUGGCAUGUACUUUUAUAAUUUCUUUUUUGGUGGAGGAUGGGGUAGGCUGGGCACUGAGACACUCGCGCACAGAUCGGAGCCCAGGAGAAUGCAAGGUCUCCCUGGUUUGUGCGCAGUGAGGGGUCCCUAGAACUUAGCUGCACAUUACAGCCUGAGGAAGGGGAGCUUCAAGGGCAGGUGUACCCAGGGCUAGGUCAUGUCCUACUCUUGAUGACCCCAUGGACUGUAGCCUGCCCAGUUCCUUUGUCCAUGGAGUUUUUCAGGCAGGAAUACUGGAGUGGGUUGCCAUUUCCUUCUCCAGGGGAUCAUCCCGACCCAGGGAUUGAACCUGCGUCUCCCACAUUGGCAGGCAGAUUCUUUACCACUGAGCCACCUGGGAAGCCCCAUUUAGGGGCACUGUGUUUUAAAACGGGAGGAGCCUCAGUGUGCACCGCUGAGCUGGCCGUUUUGCAAAUCUGCCUGCAGUGGACCGAGGUCUUCCCGCAGCUGUUGCCCCUAGAGCCUGCUUUCUCUUGGGCGGGUGGUCUCUACCCUGUCUCACUUCCUGGGUCUCCACCUUGCCCAGCAGGUGCCUCAACCAGUUAUUUUGGACGUUUUGGGUAGAACUGGGGUUCCUGGGGGAUGGUCAAGCAGAAAUACAAGUUGGUGACAUGUCUUCCAGAACACAAGAACGCCAUUCAACAAAGAUGUCACUAAACGCCACAGCCACACAAUCAUCCGCUCUGGCUGAGGCUGGGCAGGUGGCCAGCCCACAGAUGGACGGACAGGGAGGUGGCAGGGCAGUAAGCAGGGCUGAGCCUGCUCCCAGGGGCGCCCCUCCGGGGUCUCACUGGCCUCCCAGGUCAGUCGAGGAAUUCAUCCUUAAGGUAUUGCUCAGGCUCCCUCCCCAGGUGCCGACUCGCACGUUCCACUGUUCCACUCGCUGCAUGUGGACUCUGGCCGCCAGGAUCCUCCUUCCUCCUGGCCAGCCCCAGCUGCCCACUCCUCCUCGGGCUCCUGUGAUCCGGAUAGCUGUCUCCAUCCCAGCCCCGGAGACAAUUUUUAAGGAGCUUCAACAUUCUUCUGUCCAGGGGAAGGGACGGCUCCAAGCCCACCAAGCUCCUCUGUCCAUGGGAUUCUCCGGGCAAGAAUACUGGAGCGGGUUGCCAUGCCCUCCUCCAGGGGAUCUUCCUGACCCCGGCACUGAACUCACAUCUCUUAGGUCUCCUGCGUUGGCAGGUGGGUUCUUUACCUCUAGUGCCACCUGUACAGCCUUCACUCAGUUAGCAGGAGUGGGGCUUCUGAAAGGGAGAGGGCCCGUAAUUCACUUGCGUGAUGGCCUUGGGCCCAUCGGGAGGCAGAAAGUCUCUGAUUUUCUUUCUGCCAAGUGGGCCGGGGACUGAAAUUCGCCUCCAGCCAGGAAGUUUGUUGGAGGGUGCUGGGGCGGCACUGGGUUUCCCUCUCUAAACAGAGACUGGGGAGGGUUCCUGGCCCGUCUAGUGGUUAGGACUCUGUGCUUCCUCUGAGAGGGCACAGGUUUGAUCCCUGGUUAGGGAAUUAAGAUCCUGCAAGCCAAACAACAAACAAAAAUGUGGGCUGUGUCCCAGUUGAGUUCUAAGUAAAGCUGCUGCACCACUUCCCGACUCCGGUCACACAGAAGAAUCACUUAACGUUUAAAAAAUGUCAGCACCACCUCCUACGCCAAGACCAGUUGGAUCUGAAUUGCUGGGUGUUGGGAGGGACCCAGGCCCUGGUAUCUUUGUUUUCCUUCUGUUCCUCAGGUGAUUCUGUUAAGUGUCCAGAGAACUACUAGCCAGCUCCACACUCACAAGUCAGCAAUUUCCUCCAGCCCUUCCUUCAGGACCUGACGGAGGAGACGGGGCCGUUUGCUGCUGACAGCCUUUCACUUCCAGGAUAUUCUCUGCUGCUCACUGUCACUUUUGAUCCUCACUUUACAGACAGAGGACCGAGGCUCAGGAGACUCCCCAGAGGACACACAGCAAGGAUGCGGCCAAGCUGGGGUAUAGACAUGCAGUUUCUGACUCCAAGCUAACACACAGAGCCUGUGAGAUCGCAGAAAAGCAGCCUUGGGUCUUGAAUGAGUCUGGGGCCCGUCCCUGAUGGCCUGGCGCCUGUUGAGUGGAGGUGUCUGAAGUAGGCAUGAGUGAUAACACUGCCUUCUGGGUACAUGGAGAGAGGUGAGGACCAUCUGUCGAUUUUCCUGAUCCAAGGUCCUCUGCCCUUUCAUGUUUUCCUGUGGGGGUUACUCCUCCCAACCCCUGAGGUUUGCAUGGGGCCAGCCCCAUCCCCUGGCUUUAGAGGCUGGCAUGUGUCCCAGCUGGAAACUGAGCUGCCCUCCUUGGGAUUUCUGCAGCAGCCAUGGGGAAAGAGGCAUUCACUUUUCAUGGGAGUUGCUGGGUUGACGGAACUUCUGGUGACCACUCUCGUUCUUCACUUGAGGACGAAGCCAACAAAAAGGAAAGAAGCAAGAAGUGGGAAAAGUAUGCUGUCCAGAUACCAGUAAGCCGCUGGACCCAGCCAUGCCUGAAACUGACCACAUCUCUGGACUAAUCUGAUUAUAUGAGCCAAUGAAUGCGUUUCAUUUUUUGUAAAACUAUCCUGAGCUGUGUUUCUGUCAUAGAAAGGGUCCUAAGAAAACUAUAUUUUUCUUUGGUCUCAUUAAAAAAAAAUCAACCUUAAGGUAUACUUUACAUGCAGCCAUUUUAAAAUGUCCAGUUCAUACAUUUUUUCAAAUGUGUACACCCCGUAACUACUACCGCAGUCGAGCUGUAGAACAUUUAAAGUUCCCCAUUCCCCUUUAUGGUGAGUUCUCCUGACCCCAACCAGCCACUGACCUGCCUUUGUCCUCGAGAUUUAUUCAGUCUUCUCUUGGUUCAGGCCCCUGGAGGUUGAGGAGAGCAUUUCCUCGAUGCUCAGAUUAUGGAUCAACCUGGGUCAUUUCUCCUGGUCCAACUGUGCUGAAGCCAGAUGCACCUCAGUUUUGUGGUUCAAUACAGCCUUCUCUUCGUUUGAGCCAGCUCACCACAGAAGAGAGUCCUGGCUGAUGCAGCUUAUCCACCGCACCCUUCAGUAAGCUCCGCCCAAGAACCUCCAGGCAAAACCAACUAAUGGUCAGUCCAGCUCACCUCCUGGGAGCCAGACACUAGCAAGCGCUUUACACGCAUUAUCUCAAGUCUUCUCAGCAACCCUCGGGAGGUGCUGUUAGCCCCACUUCACUGGGCUGUGGGUGUGUUGCAUACCUCUGCACCUCCUCUGUCCACCAGGUUCCUGACUUCUUGUCCCACAGCUGAAGCUGACCCCUCCCAGACCACAUGCCAGGGUAAGGGGGCUGGAUCCCGAAUGGCCAAAGAGGCUGAAGAACUCAAGCCAUACACGUGGAGGGAGUUCGUUUUCGGGACAAACUUUGAGCCGUAGCUUAAGCACCUUCGGCAGGAAAGAGCUCAGGAGGCCCUGUCGUCAGUAACCUAGCACACCUUUCAGAUCUUGUGGUCACAAAAUACCUUGCCUAACCUGCUGGUUCUUCCCACAGAUCAAAGAAGUAGAAAUGAAGAAUAAGUAAUUACCAGGUGACCAGAUCUCUUCCCCAGCUUCCCCUUCAGUAAUCUCAUGAACAAAUGGUGGGAACAAGAUAGCAUCUAACAAGAAAGAUCACAAGAAGUCGACAAGCCUGCACACAGCUGGGGAUCAUGACACCUCUGACCCCCUCCAUCCGUGAUUAACUGAGCUGACUUCUCUUUUCCCCCUUAGAAACUUCCAUGGCCACGCAGACUCUUCAGAGCUGGUUUUGGCGGAACACCUGAGUAUACCAUCUCCCCAGACUGCCGGCAUUCCGAUUAAAAGGAACUUUGCUUUCUAUCAACAACUGCUUCUUGGGUGUUGAUUUCCAAGCAGCUGGACUGAGUUUGGAAACAGCAGAUGAGACAGGAGGAUAAAUUCCUUCAUCCUCCAUCCCUUGGACCACUUGAGGCACAUUUUCCAGAUGGGGUUUGUUGUACAGUGGUUACACGUCACCUUGCUUUGCUUCCUGUUCUCCCCGACCUCCUUUCUCUUAUCCCUCCCUCUAGCUGCCCUGGAAUUCCACUUCCAAGUUAAUGUAUCAGCCCUUAAUCCCUUGCCAGAGGGCCCACUCUUGAGGGAACUUAGCAGUCUGACGCCUGGGUCUGCACUUCAUGGCCUCAGUGAAUGCUGACCAAGAGGACAGAUACACGAUGGAUCACGGCCAUGGGGUUGGGGACUGAGGAGGGAAUACGGAUAGUGCCAAAUUCACCAUCAGAGGUACCAGUGAUAAAGGUGUCCCCAUCAUCUCUCCUGUUCCAUUCACUGGGUCUAAUCAGUCAAAUCCUGACUCCAUGCUAUAGGUCAGAGACUGUGGCAUCCCCCACUAACCUGUGUCCAGUACGAAACAGUGCACACUCCUUAUCCAUCACUUGCGGGGUAUGUGAUGCUGGAAGGUGCUCAGCCUCUCUGAGUUGCCUUCCCCAUCUGUACAGUGGGGAUAAGACUGGGCUCACCACCUGAAACUGUGGAGAUGCCUAAUGGACACGAGGUUUGUGCUUAAAGCAGAGUACGGGGAGGGCAUCGUGGAGGCUACCUGUCCAAUAGUGAUCCUGCUCUCUUUUGAGAAGCACCCCUCCUUCCUUCUGUCCCUACUGGGUAAAUAGGGCUGUCCCACCCCUACUGCCAGAUCCAGGCCAAUCCACACAUCUCUACUGACCACAAGAUUGGAUCAGGCCUGGGCAUGAGACCCAAGUCAGACCAGUCCCUGCCACAGUUCCCUGAAGUUUCUGGAACAAUGAAAGAGGUGUUUGCUCUUUGCUUUUAGCCUGGAGCUACCUGAGGCCAUUUUUUAUUAUUUGGACAUGUGAGAAUGAACGUCAGUGCGGUGACGUCAGAAGAUAGCAACGCCAAGAGAUGGAGCAGGAUGCAAACUUCUGGUGAUGGCCUUGGAGCUCCCAGAUCUACCAUGCCAGCAGCUAGGGAACCCCUGGUAUUUUUAGAAAUUAAAACAUAGGCA